CCAAGAUUAAGCACAAUUCAACACAACACAAUAUGAGCCUGGUUCAUUUUCAGUCAUGAGGCCCUGUACCCCAUUUACAGUUUCUACUUCAGUGUAUCAGGUGGAUUAAUUCACCAGCUAUAGAGUGAGUUGUUGUUUAUGUUUCUAAGACUGCAGGGUGGGAGAUGCAACAAUGGCCUUGAGAACAGCAGGAAGUGUGUUGGUGGUCUUUCUCUGGUCUGUAGCAGGAGUCUCCACUUCACUUUAAAUAGUUAUCUUUCACACCUCACUGAGUGAUGCUUAUCAACUCAGCAACUACAACAAUAAAGUGUGGACAAACACAACAGAACCUGGACAGAAGAGAACCA